GUUUGAUAUUGAUUUUAUUUGUAUUUUUAAUAUUAUUGAUUUAUAUUCAAGGAAUACUCAUACAUUCACUUAUAUUUAUUUAUAUAAUUAAUUAAAUGUUAGGUACGUUCCUUUGCUGCAUGUGUUAUUAAAUUUAUUUGUGAAUAUCGCGUUAAGAUAAAUUAGAGCUCUGCGUGUGUUGGCUUGAGUAUAGUGUGGAUAUGAAUAUGGUUAGAAUGGGUAGUCGCAUCCUUAUUUAUGGAUAAGUUGGGGUAAGCAUGGCUUUGAAUUGAUCUCGCUGGCUCUCACACUUAGAUUAUUAAGUGAAAGUCUAGUUUGACUUAAUUUUGCUAGCAUGUAUUGGAUUAGUUGUAAAGGGAAUCAUGUCUCAUAUAUGUAUUGAUAUGACACAUAGGUGUGUGCGUACUCUAAAUUAUUUUUUGUACGAAUAUUGGUUGAAUU
rnacentral:misc_RNA from 1 species